AUUCUAAUGAGGAUCUCAAGACCUACAGCUAGGGAAUGUUGUUUGACAAUGUAAGCAACAAAUGGUUCUUUUAGCUGUAAGUGUCUAUCCUGCGACCAUAACCUCUAUGGUUUGGUAUAGGAAGGAGCACCCAUCUGUAGUUGAUGGAUUCAACUUGGGUCAUCGAGAUGUUAUAAUAAC
rfam:Zea mays cultivar B73 chromosome 6, whole genome shotgun sequence.